UUGAAACAGCGAUUCCCUUUGGAUCACCGAAGUUAAGCAACGUUGUGCCUCGUUAGAACUUAGAUGGGUGACCGCUUGGAAAUAACGGGUACAGUA